UGAAAGGUACGUUAAAUGACGUGAUGAUAAAAGAAGAGAGAUAAGAAGAAAAAAAUAAGUGAAAAUUGAAUGAAAAUGAAAGUGUAAAACCUAGUACUAUGCUUAGAUAUAGAUGCCCAGACAUAUCAAAGUACAUGGCUGAUUAAUAAUACUCACUUUACCUCAGGAUCCUUGGAAUUAAAGUCCAUGGGGCUGGCCACAUGGAAAACUCCGGAGCAUCCAUUGAUGGCUUCAUCAAAGCUUCCCUCUUCAGUAAGAUCGGCGUUCCAAAUAGUCAGGUUGGUCUUUGCACCAGGCAGUUCCAGCAAAUGCUUCACCUUCUUCAUGUUAUCUGCACCAUAUAUACAUACAUACGUACAUAUAAUGCUUCAAUCACCUUCUUCACGUUUAAGCUUAACAUGAAAAGUGAUGAAAGAAAAAAAAGGGACCUCACCUGGGUCGCGUUGUACGGUGGCUCGAACUGUGUAGCCGCCCUCCAUGAGUCUCAUGACAAGCCAUGACCCGAUGAAACCGGUACUCCCUGUAACGCAAACUGUUUUGGCUGCCGAACCCAUGCUUUCAGUUCUCUUCUCUGUUUUAUUUUUACAUGGUUAUUAAUCAUAGAGAGUGUGAGACAGAGAGAGAAGAUUCAACAGAAGAAUAAUUUAGUAGUAAAAGACAUUGACUAUAAAAGUUCUCGAGUAAUUGAAAUUUUAUAUAGCCGGCCGCCACUUACAUUUUAAAAAGGAAAACCAAGUCCCACAAAACAAAUUCCCUAUAUAAUGAUUUUCUCAGUUUCCUCUGAAGCAGCCUUCCAUAAUGAUUUUCUUCUCAUACUAAACUAAAAGUAAUUAGCAUAAGUGCAUAACAUCUAAUAAGUCCAAUCCUACUACACUAGAUUACCAUAGCAACAACCUCAAGCAUGCUUUCCCACACAAUUAGAUCAACAAUCUCAACCAUGUUUUCAGCUGAUCACCAAAGCUUCAGAACCAGUUACCAAGAAACUCUAGUUUUUAAAGUAAUAGUUGAUGCUAAGGAAGAGAAAAAAAUGGAAAAUGAAAAACUUCAAAGAACUCUACGAACCUCACUGCUUCAUCACCCCAUUCGAGCUUUGCUGGCAUUGAUGCCGUCGACGAGAACCCGAACAAAGUGAUGAAGAUGCUGCUGAACAGGGGAAUGAGAAUGGGUAAACCAGGUAGAGGAUAAGGUAUGGGGAAUCGAGGUUUUGGGGAGGAAGGUGAGGGAAAGAGGAAAGUUUUUUUUUUAAUUUGUUUUUAGCCGAGGUUUAUAAACCGCCGCUAAUCGCCUUAUUUUUUGUAGCAUACAAUAUUUACAACAUACAAGUACUUUAAUAAUAAAUUUUUUGAAAUCAGUACUUUAAUAAUAAUUAAUUUGAUUAGAUGUUUGUGUAAAACCUUUUGACAGUAAAAGCAUCUUUAAUUAUGAUAUUUACAAGAGUAUUUACAUUUUACUUUUUACAACUCCCAAUAAUGUCACAUCAUUUACAUUAUUUUAUUAAUUUUUACUCCAACCCAACAACUCUUAAAAGUUUAUAAAAAAAUUAUUUUAUUAAUUGCAAGUUUUAUUUGAACCUUUUACAUUAAGCAAUAAUAAAUGCAAACACAUUUUUCAUGACUAAAUUGAGUAUUUACUCUCACAUACCCUUACUAGCCAUGUUGGAAUUAAAAAUAUGCUCCAAUGGUAAUAGAUAUUGGUGUGAGUAUGUAUUUGACAUUACAUGUUCUCAUUGAAGAUGCUCUAACAUAGCAUGAUAAUGAUAUUUAAAUUCUAUAUGUUAAAGCUUUUGAUAAUUUGACCUGUCUCGCCCUAAGCUAGGUGACUCAAUCUGCACAGAAAGGAACUAACGUUAUAGGCGGGUCCACCUCAUAAGACUUAGACAAAAUUCUAGCGAGUUGGACUAUUCUAAAGGCUCAUUAAGUUGUUGUAAGACUCAUUUUGUAAUAGACUUAGGAUUACGGUCCUUGCCCCUCUAUAAAAGGCAAGACCUCAUUCAUAAUAAAUCAGGUUCUCUCUUUAGCUGGACAAUAGCUACACAAACCCUAAAAUCUCCAUGUUCAUGUAAGAACAAUAAUGGUGAUAAUUUAUUAUUUUACUUGUUUUGCAUUUAUGCAGGCCGACCCAACACUAUAUGAGACCUAAAGCAAACUAAAGUAAUAUAUUUUUACCUAAAAAAUUUCUUUAUUAAACUUUUAUGUAAAAAUUGCAAAAUUACAGAGUUAUUCUCUCAUUUUAAUAUUUGUAUUUAUUAGUCCCUCUGUUCCUUAUUAUAAGUCACUUUUUUUAAUAAAAAAAUUGUUCCUAAAUAGAAAUCACUUUCUAAUAUCUAGGAAACAUUAAAUAAUUUUUGGUAAAUUCUGUGGUACCCUCAAUUUUUUUUGGGUAUGGUACCCCAUUAAGUAAUUCUAUAGAUUAUUAUCAUAUUAUUUAAGGUAAAUACUACAUCAUUAGAUUUUACUUUACUUGUCAAUUAACUUUAUCUCAUGAAAUUCAUUUUUUGAUGAAAAAUGUACGAGUGGUGGAAACGAAUAAUGGUGAUGAAGAAGCGCGUAAAAUGACCAUGGUUGGUGGAUGCAUAAAGCUCAGAAAACACAACUUUCAAAUCUCACGUCCCUAAGAAUGGAACGUUGCAUUACUACGAUAGAACACAAUCAAAAUUUUAACCGGUACAUAAGUCUUUAUUAUUAAAAUCGACUCAUUAUGGGUACCACACCUUAGUCUGGCUUAAGGUACCACAGCAAGCACCAUAAUUUUUUCCAAAUUCAUCCUCAUAUUUUUAAUAUAAAAGAGAUGAUGAACUUUUGGAAUAUUAAUUUGGAAAGAGGAAAUCAUUGAAAAGUAAAUAAGGGUAAUGUAAGAAACUUAAUCAUUUCCUUUACAAAUUUAUUACUAAUAUAUAAUAACUACUUUUCUUAAUAUAAGAGAAUUAAUUAUUUUUUACUUUUAUAUAGGAACAGAGGGAGAAGUUAGUAACAAUUAGUGAGGGAAUUGAGGAAACCAAACGUGAGAUUGGGUUGAAGUUUUGUUAUUGUUGUUGCCGUCUAUUCAGUUUUUCAUUGAAUUUUGUUUAAUUAUGGAAUUAGAGAAACCAAAUGUUUGCUAGACUAGUCAAACAUGAGAUGAAGACUUUUUUUCUUUUCAUUCAGAGUACUGGGCUUGAUUAUUUUAACCGAGACCUUAAUUUUCAUGUGAGGUCUUCUUUAUAAAAAUAGUAUUAGACUUAUCACAUGAAUUGAAGACAUUUUUUUGCUCAAUGAAUAUUUUUAGGGCCUAAAGCCUUUACUUGGGCCACAUGACUUUAGACAAGCCCUGCGUUUAUGUUGAUGAUCGUAUUUUAAUGGGCAAUGCUCCAAAUUUGUUUCAAGACUUAAAGAAAAAUAUAAUCUUAUGAGUUUGUGAUGACUUAUUUCGGACUUGUGUUACAAUUUGAGAUUAUAAAAUGAAGCAAAUGAAAAAUGAAUUUUUUAUUUGUCAAGAGAGUUUGUUACACAUUUAGAGUUAAAUGUUUUUUUUAUUGCAAUCUCGUGAACUCACGCACGAAAUAUAAGCUUGAUGGUGGAGAGAAGGAAGAUCCUACAUUGAUCAAGAGUUUUGUAAGAGGCUUGGGAUUCUUAACAAGUACAAGGCCGAAUAUUAUUUAUGUGGUUGGUAGAGCUGUCAAUAUGGGUUCGAACCCGCGGGCUAGCUCGACGGGUUUACUAAAUGAGCUGGGUUGGUUUGGUUAAAUUCCAACUCGAAAAGAACUUGAGUUAGUGCAACCCGACUCGUUUAAUUCGCGAGUUAGACGGGCCAACCUGCGGGUCAAGCGAGCCAACCCGUCGGGUUAGAGUUAUUUUUUAUUAAAAAAAUUAUUUUAUUUGUCUUUAAUUCUAGAUUAGUUUUAUGGAUUAUUUUUAGAUAGAAAAAAGAAAAUUUUAAUUUCUUUAAAUUUGAGUCGAUUUUUUGUGUUUUAUUUAUUUUAUUCUAUUAUUUAUCUCAUUUUAAAUGUGACAGUAAAAUAAUAGUGUUCUUAAAUCCUGUAAACUAAAUUCUUUUUCUAUAUUUCAAAUGUGAGAUAAAAAUAAUUGCGUUGAUAAACCUCUUUUUUAUGAGUUGUACCAAUUUCUAUAAGUAUUUUUUAAAAAUUAUUUUUUUAUAACAUUUUAAACAUUUUCUAAUCCAAUUUCUCUAUUUUUUAUAUUUAUUUCACUCAACCCGCGAGCCAGCCCGCCAACCCGCAAGUUCGUAGCGAGCCGGGUUGGAUUCAUAUUUUUCUGGCUCGUUAAGACCCCGGUUGACACAACCCAACCCAUUUUCAACCCAACCCAUACGAGCUGACCCAUAUGGGCCGGGCUGGCCGUCCGUAUUGACAGCUCUACUGGUUGGUGUUGUAUAUCACUUUAUUUUUUUUAAGUCCUCAAUCACUACUUAGAUAGGGCUACAAAAUAAUUCUUUGUUACCUAAAAUUAUACUUUAUUUUUUCAAAAGCCUAAGUUUUUGACCAAAAAAAAAAGCCUAAGUUUUAUAAAUUAAAAGGAGAUAUAUACAAGUCCUCUGUCCUCUCAACAAAAGAUUAAACACGCACAAUAAAAACAACAAAAAAAGAAAAUGCAAAUACAGCUAGAGGAGAAAAUCCCUUUCGCCACCAAGCCAAAACUUCCUCCAUGCCUUGAUGCCACUAAAAGAGUAGGCUGUUCGAACGCCUGUAGGAAAAAAGCUCCACAGCCACCAUAGGAAACCACUAUAUAAAAUCCCUUGUUGUUGGUUCCUUUCUGAUUUUACUUGAAGUUCUAAAAUCCAAUCCGAUGAGCAACCACUAUAAAUAUCAUCUUGUUAAGUAGACAUCUUUUAACUAAUCAAGAAAAUAAAUCCUAAUCAAGAAACAUAAUAGGUAAUGGAGGAUCCAUAGCCAUAUCACACAUCACAGACACAAAGAUAUAAACAAGGCCAGUUUAUUUCUCUGUUAUGCCAUUGCUUGGAUUUUCUGCAGCUUUAAGAAGAAGCCCUUUUUCCUUGCAUGUGUCAAUUGCUCCAGUGUACAUAUCCUCUAAGCUGUAUUUAAAUUCGAACCCCAUUUCUUUGAUCUUCUUUGAUGAAAAUCUGACAAGCUCCAAUUCAUCUGGAAUAUUCUUGAACAUGAUAAAAAUCCAAUGCAAUAUCAGCUCAACAUGGAUGUUUAUCUUGUAGUUUUGUACAUAAAUAAGUGAUUCUGAAAUAUUUGAACGUGAACACUCGGGCAAAGUAGCUUGGAAGACUUACUUAGUGGGGACAUUGUACUCUGGAUACUUUGAGUUAAUUAACUUUGCAAUGUCAUGGAUAGUAGCCUCAGAUGCAGACAAGAUAUACCUUCCUUCUGAUUCAGGGUGCUCAAACAGGAAAAUAUGGGCUAGACAAAGAUCAUCCAAAUGGACAAAUUGGCCUUGCUUUAUGAUCGAAUAAUGGGCCUCGUUUCCUGCCAAUUUAAUUAAGAGCAAGACUUUAGCAUAUACAUUUUUUGUUUGUUUUCAAACUAACUUUAGCAUAUAAUUUCUUUUAUUAGUUGCCACUAGAGUAUGGAUACAACGUUCAAAUGUAAUGUCAAGUAAGCAUGAAAACAAUACACAAAUAUAAUGAUAGAACUUUGAACUAUCAUUGUACCGGUGAUGGGAGAAAGAGCGGUGAUUAGGCUAGGUGGCAUUGUUGGCAUUAGAAAGGAACCAACAACAAGGGAUGGAAUGGUUGUAAUGAAGUCAAUGUCAUGCUCUUUGGCAAAUUUCCAUGCUUCUUGCUCUGCCAGUGUCUUUGAAACAAAAUACAUCUACAAAAAAUGAAACCAAGAUAAAACUAAUCAUUAUGAUCGAUUGGGUACAUUUUAAAAUUUGAAGAAAAAUUCAAAUAAAAAUACUAACCCAACCAGUCAUCUUUACUCUCCGGCAGAACUCAACGUCACUCCAGCAGCUUUCAUCAAACAUUUGUUUUUGGUGCUCUACAGCGUCGAGGGUACCUGCGGAGGAUGUGAAAACCAGCCUCCGUACAGUUUUAGCCUUCUGGCAUGCUUUCAUGAUGUCUAGCACCCCGUUUAUGGUAGGCUUGAUCACUUCAUUCUGCACUUCCAAUCAAAUUUGGAACCAUAUCAUAUUCAAUACUCUCCAAUAUCAUUAAUAUUACAUUAACAUUUCAAAAAUUUUGCCACUAACUUUCAUUAACUACAUUAAUGAUUAACCUUAUCAGUUCUCUUUUAUGCGAUGCAACUGGAAGAUGAAGAUACGUUAAAUGACGUGAUAAUAAAAGAAGAAAGAUAAGAAGAAAAAAUAUGUUAAAAUUGAAUGAAAAUGAAAGUGUAAAACCUGGUACUAUGCUUAGAAAUCAAGUGUAAAUUUUAUAGAUGCCCAGACAUCAAAGUACAUGGCCCAUUAAUAAUAAUCACUUUACCUCAGGAUCCUUGGAAUUAAAGUCCAUGGGGGUGGCCAAAUGGAAAACUCCGGAGCACCCAUUGAUGGCUUCAUCAAAGCUUCCCUCUUCAGUAAGAUCGGCGUUCCAAAUAGUAAGGUUGGUCUUUGCACCAGGCAGUUCCAGCAAAUGCUUCACCUUCUUCAUGUU
rnacentral:lncRNA from 1 species